CCCAUGGUCAGGGAGGCGCCAUCGCCCUGGCUUUGGGGCUGGGGCCUCCGGGGAGGUUCCGGUAGGGGCGUUGGAGAGGCCGCUCUUUUUGCAAGGCCCGAGAUGGCGGGCCCUGCGCAGGCCGCCCUAUUCCGCGCCCUCAGGGCGUCAGUAUCCGCCUGAGGCCGGAUACCCACUCUGGGCUCGGAUACCCGCGCUGGGCCCGGAGCAUCCUCGGCGCUGCCCUCCCAGAGCCCCGCAGAGGCUGAGGUGGCGCGGGGGCGGCCCCGGCUCCGCGAGAAGAGGCGGCAGCGAGGGCUGGAGGACCCGGGCUACGGGGCUCCGGGGCGUCUGGCCUGGGUGGGACUGAGCCCAUCCAGGGACUGGGACUCCGGGGUUCUGGUGUAGGUGGAUCCCGGGCAGGCUCAGGACCAAGACCCUCUCCUUCCACCAAGGAGCGCCCAGAGGCCGGCGGGAGCUCCAGGUUCACCUCCUCCUCCUCCAGGGACGACUUGAGAAGGCAUCCUGACCCUAUGCAGAAAUGCAGAAACACUUCCAUGAGCUAAACAACCUAUGUGAAGGCCUGAAAGCCAAAGCAAGAUCCUCUUAUUACAAAGCUGUCCAACAAAAAGUUUUCCAAGUAACACUGGAGGUCCAUCACUCACUCUUCCUGGUCUGGAAAUGCCAGAAAUGUCCUCCUUGGUCCUUCUGAGAGUCAAGAUCUUUUCAAAGUCACCUCAGGAGCCACAGAACCACUCCAUCCUACCUGAAAUUGCAGGAUGACUCUUCUUUUGACCAGAGUCUCAAAAAUAUAUUCGUUGAUAAUUUUGAUUCCUGGGAGCCGCCAUUGCUUGCAAAAGAUGUGCCAGGGACUAGACAUUUUCUGUCUCCUCACUUGUCCGGGGAAGACUGAAGUUUUACUGAAACACAGAGAUGGGAAUCUGACCCUCUGAGCAGCCUCAGGAUUUUCUAAGUCUUCCAAGCAGAGUGGAAAUACUGGAAAUCCCACUUCCAGCUGGAUGUCUGGAUGAACUCCUGAAAGCUGCUGAGUGUCCUGCAGCAGGUGAGCUGUGGCCAGAGCCCAAGGAUGAAGGGGACUCCCUCACUCUGUGACUGUGAAGAGGAAGCCUGAGGUGUAGCAGGCCCAGGCCCCAGAAGUAUGGAAAAAAUGAGCCUUUCAUCCCAAAGAUGCAGCCGACUUGAUUGUGGUGGAUGAGCUUUUUGAUGUGCUGCUGGAUUCUGUUUGCUAGUAUUCUAUUAAGAAUUUUUGCAUUGAUGUUCAUCAGGGAUAUUGGCCUGGAUUGAGCAGGCCAUUUCCAAUCCAGAGGAAGACCUUCUAGAAGAAGUGAUGGGUGGGAGAGUGCUGACAUACUAUGCAAAGCUACUAUUUGGAGUUGGACACGAGUGCAUGUGACCUUGUGCCACAGCGGGAAUGUGAGCUGGAUGACAAAUGGAGAUUUGGACUUGUGAUAAUUGGCCUCUGUGUCAUUGUGUGGAAGACUGACUGGUCCCUUUAUUUCCUGUAGCUUGACUACCACACAAAUUAAUCCACUCAAAUGUUGGCAAGUGGAGCAGAGUCCCAGGACAGUCUGCAAUCUCUACAGGUACAGAAACACCCCCAGUUCAAGGAUCUUCACACCUGGAUUUAGGCCUACACCUGCAACUACCCCAGGCCAGUUAUCCAGGCAGUGACUUUCUGUACAGCUACAGUCACCUCUGGACACCUGCGGAGACUUUAAAAAUUUCCAGAAGGUCAGGAAUUUUUGGAGACCUUUCUUAUGGCUACGUUGCCUGCAAAGGUGAAUCAAUAAGCUUCUGAACUGACUUAGAAAAUGUUGCAGAGACUCUUGUGAACAGAUAGACCCUCUCCUGCCACUCCAGAUAGACGUAUCCGGGUCACACACACCUGAUUUAACAACAUCUCAUUAUCUCAGGCACCAAUUUGAUCUUCUACUACUUUGCAGACAUCUCUUCUGCAAACACCAGACAAACUGAGACAAUGAACUUCCGCAGGACCCAAAGCACCUCUUACUGCAGGAAAGAAGAUCCAGUGAGAUAGUUAGUCCACAAAUGGAAUGUCAAUCCAUAAACACACUUAAGUAACAGAA
ensembl:lncRNA FAM66C family with sequence similarity 66 member C